UAGGGAAUCUUCCGCAAUGGGCGAAAGCCUGACGGAGCAACGCCGCGUGAGUGAUGAAGGUCUUCGGAUCGUAAAACUCUGUUAUUAGGGAAGAACAAAUGUGUAAGUAACUAUGCACGUCUUGACGGUACCUAAUCAGAAAGCCACGGCUAACUACGUGCCAGCAGCCGCGGUAAUACGUAGGUGGCAAGCGUUAUCCGGAAUUAUUGGGCGUAAAGCGCGCGUAGGCGGUUUUUUAAGUCUGAUGUGAAAACCCACGGCUCAACCGUGGAGGGUCAUUGGAAACUGGUUGACUUGAGUGCAGAAGAGGAGAGUGGAAUUCCAUGUGUAGCGGUGAAAUGCGUAGAUAUAUGGAGGAACACCAGUGGCGAAGGCGACUCUCUGGUCUGUAACUGACGCUGAGGCUCGAAAGCGUGGGUAGCAAACAGG
rnacentral:rRNA from 1 species